rnacentral:rRNA from 1 species
CCUACGGGAGGCAGCAGUGGGGAAUAUUGGGCAAUGGGCGAAAGCCUGACCCAGCCAUGCCGCGUGAAUGAAGAAGGUCUUAGGAUUGUAAAAUUCUUUCCUAUGAGAAGAAAAAAAUGACGGUACCAUCGGAGGCAGCCCCGGCUAACUACGUGCCAGCAGCCGCGGUAAUACGUAGGGGGCGAGCGUGGUCCGGAAUUACUGGGCGUAAGGAGAGAGUAGGCGGCACUACAAGUCUCAUGUGAAAUACCCGGGCUUAACUUGGGGGUUGCAUGGGAAACUGUAGAGCUUGAGUAGAGGAGAGGCAAGCGGAAUGCCUAGUGUAGCGGUGAAAUGCAUAGAUAUUAGGAGGAACACCAGUGGCGAAGGCGGCUUGCUGGACGGAAACUGACGCUGAGGCUCGAAAGCGUGGGGAGCAAACAGGAUUAGAUACCCUGGUAGUC